CACUAGGUCCAGCUUACACUCAAGGGGAAGGAAUUGCACAAAAGCAUGGAUAUCAACGGGAAGUGAAAACUUUCUUAACAUACUCACUCCAGGCAAGGGGGAUUGGUCACGGGAAAACUUGUGGCUACCUACAGCCUCUGAGAGGAGCUGAUAUAUAAAUAAAUGUACGAAAACUCCAAAGUCAAGUUCUGUAUAAGGAAGUCUGGAACAGUCCUCCUCUUGCCUUACUGAGGAAUGGCCUUGGCUACAGUGCAAAGAUGGAGAGGAGAGGAGGGCGCGCAGAAAAGCAAAAAUUGGAGAAAAAUGAAUUCCAAAGCAAUCCACCAGGACCAGCAGAAUGGCCCACUGCACCUCCUGCCACAGUCUACACUGCAGCUAUCUGCCUCUAACAGAAACCACCCCCCAGUACCCUCUCCAUUACAGGCACAUGUCGUUAGAGCUCCACCACACCACUCGCUGAACACUCUUCCAUGUGAGUUGAUGGACCAAUGAGAAAAUAACUGUUGG
rnacentral:lncRNA from 1 species